UGACUUCAGGGGUGCCUCUGACACUGACCGCGCCACUGUGCGCGCUUCCCCGAGGACUGACGUCCCUGUGACCCCCGAAUGAUGGCGGGUUCUGGUCACGGGUCACAGCUCAGCGGCCGCGAGGCUCUCAAGUCCACAGCCGUCGGCGGCCCAGCGGAGACGGGCCACUGCGGUCCGGGAGCCCUCCCUUCGACAACUGGCACUUCUCUGGCCCCAAACUUCCCGGAUCGAGGCCCAUCUUAUGCCAGACUUUAUUUUCAAUUCUCUGUAGGUGUAAAAGGAAAAUGCAGGUUCACAGGCUACAGUAAUGGGCAGAUACCGCGCAUGUAACCCGUCCGCCCGUGGCCGCCUGGGGCCUUGAACGCUCCCUUCACCGCGGGGAGCGUUGCUUCUUCCAGGACCGCUAGGAGCCGUGGGGCCCCAGCAGGACACACCGCCCAGCGCAUUCUAACAGCAGCCCUGUGUGUUCGAGGCGGGCGGAGCUUGACGGCUUGCUUCUGUUUGCUUUUCUCUGCCUGGUGCUACCGCGAGCAGCCUGCUGCAGACGGACGGCUGGCUUGCAGAUGUGGACCCAGAGGGCAGAGCCCAAGGCCUGAGGACAGAAGGGCGAGGGGCGCUUCUGCAGAGAUAAAAAUAGAAUCUUGAGUCUACUUAAAAACAAAACACAAGCGGGAGUGCGUGUUCCCAAGUGGACACGGGCAGCGGGGAGCAUGGCCUGGGCCCGGGGCUCGGAGGACGGGAGACGCACGCCCACCGAGGCAGCGGCCCCCCGCGCUGCCCACCCUCAGCUUCCUGACAUCCGACAGCCCAGCUGGUAAAACAGAAGAUCCCGGUCAGAAAACAACAGGACACCACGCAGCCCGGGGUGGCAUAGCGCCCACCCCCCCUUCUCACUCCGAGGCAGAAGGGCAUCCCAGGCCUUGUGGGACAUACCUGAUUCGACCCGUGUCCGCCCCGUCCGCCCACGAGGCCUUUGUCAGGCCUGGCCUUGGUUUCCUCACUUUGUACAGGGCGCUCGGAGGUGCCCACCUAGGGUCUCACGAGGACUCAGUUGAGUAACGUCCAUAAGGUGCUUUAAGUGCACCCAGGACCUGCUACCAGCAAUGUGGACGUGGAGUUCUUCGUACAAGCCGGGUUCUGUGUAUGCAGCUGAUGCAGGAUCAACCUUCCAGGACACACAAGGGAUGAGCCUACUCCUAUGAUGACCACAGUACCUCUGACUUUGGAACAAGCGAUUCACACUCACCGCGUUGUGGAGGCCAGGACAGCAAGGCGAUAUUGGACCAACUACGUAGACCAGGAAUGAGACUAUAGCAAUGCCUUGAUGAAAAGGAUGAAGAAAUGUUGAAACCCCCAAAGAAGCAAUUAAACGGCAGAUUUCUUUUUCUUUAGUUCAAGGUUAUGAUAAGCAACAAUAGAAUCGUCAAGUAAAGAGCAUAGUCAUUAUAAAUGUGACAUUUUUCAUACAGAAGUCCAGAACCAUGAAUGAGAACACAUAGAAAAAAGAGCAGAAUAAAACUCAAAGAGGGUUGAGAUAAUGGAAAUUAUCAGAUGGAGAAAAUACCCAAGUAUGA